rnacentral:tRNA from 1 species
UGGGGUGUAGCCAAGCGGUAAGGCAGCGGCCUUUGACGCCGCCAUUCGCAGGUUCAAAUCCUGCCACCCCAGCCA